UCUGCCCCUCCCCUGCUUGUGCUCUCUGUCUGUCUCUCAAAAAGAAAGAGAGAGAGAGAGAAAGAAACAAACUUCGGUUUGAAGUUAUCCUUCAUUUGGAUAACAGUUUUACUCCAUACCCAUAACAAAUUGCAGGCUGUGCAAAGUUCAGCCUUAGAUGUGGUCUAUCUGCUUUGCAUUUAAAGUCGAUGUACACUGUAGUACAUUGGAGGGCCGGGGUGGAGAUAGGCUUGUCUGUCAACUAUAGGAAAUUGCUAAGAAUUAGCCAGGCUCUCUAUGAUGAAUUUUUCUUCAUUAUUUUAGAAAUGACGUGUUUAAUAUUCAGACAUGAGCUUCCUUCCCUCUCUGUCUUUCUCUCUCUAGUUCUUAUUUGAAUUCCAGUUAACAGAGUGUCGUUAGUUUCAGGUGUAUAAUUCAGUGACUCGGCACUUAGACAUGAAUUUCGGACUCCUGUAGUGUUCAUCUAAAUAUUUAAAGGGAAAUUUUUGUUCUUGAGCUCUGUUUUCCAUGAAGAAAGUUAGUGAAAACCAGUAGAAAAUGUCACCACUGAUGUUUACUAAAUCAGUCUUGAUUAUUACCAUCUUUCCUCCAAUCCUGACAAAAGUCAGUGUGUAAAAUUUAAAGAGAAAGUAGUUGACAGGACUGGGGGCAGAUCCCCAGCUGAUCUGGUUUUAUAGCUGAUAUUUUUUCUUUGUAAAACUUUCAAGAGUUUAAGUUAACUUUAAAUGCAAUUCGAUGGCAGUUUUAGGUCUCUCAGUUACGAUAUAGAAAGCUGGUUUGCUUUGAUUAAAACGAAGGUCGGUUAUUCUUUUCACACUAAUUAAAGACAUACUAGAUCUUUUGAAUGCUCAGAAGGUUUUUGUCCUAUAUGCAGAGUCUGUGGUGACCAAAGAGGACGUACAGUGUUAUCUAGAGAGCGAGAUUUCAAGUCCCUUUUGGAACUGUGCCUGAUAAACAGUCCUCCAGGAGAGGAAGGAAUGCAAAGAAUGCUUAAGUAUUCAGGGAACUAGGUCAUGGUUUAAAGUAUUACAUUUGUCAGAGAAAGUUUCUCAAGCCGUCCCUAUGAUCCUUGGCUCCUUGCUUCGUCCUUACCCAGUGUGCUUUAGUCUUCCGGCAAAUUAAGUGCUUGGAUUCACUUCUCAGCCUCUAGGAGGGCUGGUCUAGAAGUAGCAGACCACCUUGCAACACCAAAACAAAGGUUUCUGUACUAUAGAGUGUUUGAGAUAAGACUGAUAGCGUUUCCAGAUUCUAGCAGAGAUGUGACAAAAUUGAAUAGUUCAGCAACUCUCCUUAAAUGUGGUCAAACGUACGGUUGGAUAAACAUAGUUGACACAUCAUCCUAGUAAGCUUCGCCAGCUACAGAACUCCCUCGGCCUGGCCAGAGUUAAUGUUUUACCAGCUUGCGUCAGAAGUGAGGGCAGAUGUCUCAAAUUGGCAAAUGACUGAAAAAUUAGAAAGUGAGGCUGGAUUGUGUCUUUUUUUUCAAACUUUGGCAUGGCGACAGUGUUGGGAUAAAGAGGAAGGACUGUGUAGCUCUCCCCGCACCAAAGCAGACGGACGUGAAGCACACAGUACAGGACAGAGAAAGAUACUGGGGCUGUGUAAGGACAGGUGGAGAGAAGUGCAUCGAAUCGAACGGGAGAAAAACGCCCUGAGAUGCACGAGUUCCUGUGCUUUUUGAAAAACCAAAUUCUAAAGCAAUUGGGCGACGCACUGGACCAUGUCGAGUGUUCACGCUUUUUUGUGCCAGCACGCCUAAUUUUGGAAGGUCAGCAAAAAAGGAAUACAAGAGCAGGAAAACUAUAUGCCAUGCGAUGAUUAUUACCACUGUUUAUCGCUGCCUUGUUUAAGGUACGGAAAGAUCGGCCAAGUGAAUUACGUGUGGCGCAUAGACUAGAUCCUUGUCAUUAAAGGGUCGUGAGAGGAAUUUGUGGCAUCCUGGCCAAAUGUGUGGUUUCAGAGUGCGGGGGAGUAUGCAGAACUGACUUCACAAUAGCAAUUCUUUCUCUAUAGUAUAUGUACGCGGCUAAGUGUGAAAAGGUGUGCCUGAAAAUGAAGCGUUAGAAUGACAAGUGUUUUAGAUGAUUUCUUUAGUAUUUUUCUUUUUUUAAGAUCGUUGAAAAACCAGAUCAGCGUGGGAGGGAAUUUCGGAUGAAAGAGGAUCUAACUUAUAAGCGGGAGGGAGGUAAAUCACUAUUGUUUAUUAUCUUUAUUCUUUUAAGUUUAUCUUGAGAGAGAGGACCAGUGGGGAAGGGGCAGAGAGCGGGGAACAGAAGAUCCGAAGCGGGCUCUGUGCUGACAGCGGGGCUUGAACCCAGGAACCGUGAGAUCAUGACCUGAGCCGAGUCACUUAACCGACUGAAUCACCCAGAAGCGCCGAUAGCUGGGGGUUUUAAUUGAUUUUAUGUUGACAAUAGUAUAAAAUGAGGGAGGGUGGCUGAUACACAGCAUUUCAAGUAUACUCUUAAUGCUUUAUUAAUAAAAAUACUGUACUGUGGUUUGCA